UGUGUGUGUUACCCAGGUGCUGCAGGUCCUCGGUGGUGAGCUCACAGCUGCUGAGGCGGAGCUCUGUCAGCACCGCCGGCUGCAGAGCGUCCAGCAGCAGAGGCAAAUGUCCUCCAACCACCUUACACCAGGACACAUCCACACUGCGCAGAGUAAGACUCUCACAGCAUGACUGGAAGUACUUGCAGUAUAAGUAUGUGCGUACCUAGAGCAGUGACAACCUCCUGGCUCAGGUUGCAGCUGUUGAGCGGCAGACGUCUCAUCUGAGUGAGAGGCAGGGCAGUGAGCAUCGGGGGGAGCACCCCCCCCACAUCCUUAUUGGAUGACACAUCCAGUUCCGUUAGCGCUGGCAGCGAAGGAAGAGCCUGGACUGAACACAAUGGGAAAAAUCUCUAAAAACUCAGCAGAUGUCCUACCGAGAGCAUGAAGGCUUUCCUCCGUCAGACCGCAGGCCUGUAAACGCAGCGUGGUGAUGGAGGAGGCGUGUGACAGAGAGGAGGAAAACUCCCUGAAAGCUUCCACUUCCUGUGAGAGCUGAGGAUUACAGGAGACGUCCAACACGCAGACACUGGAGAGAGCAGACAGCAGUCCUCCUGAGGGACACACAGGACAUGGAUCCCCGUCCGGUCUCGGGACAGGAAGCGUCCCAGAGGCUUCCUGUCCGACGCUGCACGCUUCCUGCGGAUCUGGUUCAUGAUGAGGUCGAAAGGGGAGCGCCUAAGACUGCCACCCCCCCGCUGAACAUCUGAACAAUCAGACACAAAGUGAACACAUCAUGUUU